CCUACGGGAGGCAGCAGUGGGGAAUAUUGGGCAAUGGACGCAAGUCUGACCCAGCAACGCCGCGUGAAGGAAGAAGGCUUUCGGGUUGUAAACUUCUUUUAAGGGGGAAGAGCAGAAGACUGUACCCCUUGCAUAAGCCACGGCUAACUACGUGCCAGCAGCCGCGGUCAUACGUAGGUGGCAAGCGUUGUCCGGCUUUACUGGGUGUAAAGGGCGUGCAGCCGGAGAGACAAGUCAGAUGUGAAAUCCACGAGCUCAACCCGUGAACUGCAUUUGAAACUGGUUCCCUUGUGUGUCGGAGAGGUAAUCGGAAUUCCUUGUGUAGCGGUGAAAUGCGUAGAUAUAAGGAAGAACACCAGUGGCGAAGGCGGAUUACUGGACGAUAACUGACGGUGAGGCGCGAAAGCGUGGGGAGCAAACAGGAUUAGAGACCCUUGUAGUC
rnacentral:rRNA from 1 species